rnacentral:lncRNA from 1 species
AAGAAAUGAGAGAAUAGUUGGCAUGUAAUUAUAUGUCACUGUCAGACCAUGCAGUAAUGGUUAUGAUUUGUUGAUUUUAAUUACUUUUACCUGCAAUCAACAGGUCAUAAAACCCUCCCAGAUGGGAGUAAUUACUUGGUGUUUUUUGGGAGGGAAAUCUGUGUUUCACAGUGUGACACUGUGUUACACCAGAAUCAGUGUUGGGAGUAUGAGAUUACAUCCUCUCUGUGUGUACUGUA